rnacentral:lncRNA from 1 species
AUGCGGGGAAGCUGCGGGUGUUUAUUUUAUUAUUCCCGUGGUUUAUUCCCGUUGUUUUUCCCGUGGUUUAUUGGCAGGUGGACGCGGGGAAGCUGCGGGUGUUUAUUUCAUUAUUCCCGUGGUUUAUUCCUGUGGUUUAUUCCCAUUUUAAUUCCCAGGUGGACGCGGGGAAGCUGCGGGCGUUUAUUUCACAUUUUCCCAUUGUUUAUUCCCAUUUUAUCCAUGGUUUAUUCCCAGGACGCGGGGAAGCUGCGCGUGUUUAUUUUAUUGUUCCCGUGGUUUAUUCCUGUGGUUUAUUCCCGUGGUUUAUUGUCAGGUGGACGCGGGGAAGCUGCGGGUGUUUAUUCCCAGAUUUCCCGUGGUUUAUUCCCGUGGUUUAUUCCCAUUUUAACUCCCAGGUGGACGCGGGGAAGCUGCAGGUGUUUAUUUCACAUUUUCCCAUUGGUUAUUCCCAAUUUUCCGGUUGUUUUUCCCGUGGUUUAUUGUCAGGUGGACGCGGGGAAGCUGCGGGUGAUUAUUUACAUUUUCCCAUUGUUUAUUGCCAUUUUAAUUCCCGUGGUUUAUUGUCAGGUGGACGCGGGGAAGCUGUGGGUGUUUAUUUCAUUAUUCCCGUUGUUUAUUCCCAUCAUUUUUCCCGUGGUUUAUUCCCAGGUGGGCGCGGGGAAGCUGCGGGUAUUUAUGUCACAUUUUCCCGUUGUUUAUUCCCAAUUUUCCCAUUGUUUAUUCCCGUGGUUUAUUCCCAUUUUAAUUCCCAGGUGGAUGCAGGGAAGUUGUGGGUGUUUAUUUCACAUUUGCCCAUUGUUUAUUCCCGUUUUUCCUGUUUAUUCCCAGGUGGACACAGGGAAGCUGGGGGUGUUUAUUUCACAUUUUCCCGUUGUUUAUUCCCAAUUUUCUCAUUGUUUAUUGCCAAUUUUUCACAUUGUUUUUCCCGUUCCCAUUCCCAGGUGGACGCUGCAGGUGUUUAUUCCCCAUUUUCUCAUUGUUUUUCCAAAUGUCCCCACUGUUUAUUCCCAUUUUCCCCUUGUUUAUUCCCAGGUGGAUGCAGGCAAGCUGUGGGUGUUUAUUCUCGUUUUUCCCGGUGUUUAUUUCCAUUUUUCCCACUGUUUAUUCCCGUUUUUCCCGUGGUUUAUUCCCAGGUGGACGCGGGGAAGCUGCGAGUGUUUAUUUCAUUAUUCCCGUUGUUUAUUCCCGUCAUUUUUCCCGUGGUUUAUUCCCAGGUGGACGCGGGGAAGCUGCGGGUGGUGGACGAGAGCGAGGGCCGGCUCUGGGCCGAGAGCCGCGGAUUCCUCUACUGGGAGACGUCGGCGCAGAGCGGGGAGGGCAUCCAGGAGAUGUUCCAGGUGGGAAUUCCCAAAAAAAUCCGGGAAUUUCCUGGGAAUUCUGGCUUGGAAUUCUGGGUGGGAAUUCCUUGGGAGAUGUUCCAGGAGGGAAUUCCCAAAAAAAUCCGGGAAUUCUGGGAAUUUUUUGGGUGGGAAUCCUGGGAAUUUUUGGGAUUUUCCUGGGAAUUCUGGGUGGGAAUUCCAGGUGGGCAUCCAGGAGAUGUUCCAGGUGGGAAUUGCCAAAAAAUCCAGGAAUUCCGGGAAUUUUUUGGGUGGGAAUUCUGGGAAUUUUGGGGGAUUUUCCUGGGAAUUCUGGGUGGGAAUUCUGGGAACUCUGGGUGGGAAUUCCUUGGGAGAUGUUCCAGGAGGGAAUUCCCAAAUAUCCGGGUGGGAAUUCUGGGUGGGAAUCCAGGAGAUGUUCCAGGUGGGAAACCCCAAAAAUCUGGGAAUUAUGGGAAUUUUUUGGGUGGAAAUUCUGGGAAUUUUUGGGAUUCUCUUGGGAAUUCUGGGUGGAAAUUCCUGGUGGGAAUUCCAGGAGAUGUUCCAGGUGGGAAACCCCAAAAAAAUCCGGGAAUUCUGGGUGGAAAAAUCCGGGAAUUCCGGCUGGUGUUCCAGGUGGGAACUCCGGGAAUUCUGGGUGGAAGUUCUGGGAAUUCUGGGAAUUUUAGGGUGGGAAUUCUGGGAGAAGUUUUGGGAUUUUCCUGGGAAUUCUGGGUGGGAAUUGUGGGAAUUCCUUGGGAGAUGUUCCAGGUGGGGAUUCCCAAAAAAUCUGGGAAUUCUCAGAAUUUUUGGGUGGAAAUCCUGGGAAUUUUUGGGAUUCUCUUGGGAAUUGUGGGUGGGAAUUCCGGGAAUUUCUGGGUGGGAAUUCCAGGUGGGAAUUCCCAAAAAAAUCCGGGAAUUCUGAGAAUUUUUUGGUGGAAAUUCUGGGAAUUUUUGGGAUUCUCUUGGGAAUUCUGGGUGGAAAUUCUGGGUGGGAAUUCCAGGAGAUGUUCCAGGUGGGAAUUCCCAAAAAAAUCUGGGAAUUCUGGGUGGAAAAAUCCGGGAAUUCUGGCUGGUGUUCCAGGUGGGAACUCCAGUAAUUCUGAGUGGAAAUUCCGGGAAUUCUGGGAAUUUUUGGGUGGGAAUUCUGGGAGAAGUUUUGGGAUUCUCCUGGGAAUUCCGGGUGGGAAUUGUGGGAAUUCCUUGGGAGAUGUUCCAGGUGGGAAUUCCCAAAAAAAAUCCGGAAAUUCUGGGAAUUUUUGGGUGGGAAUUCUGGGAAUUUUUGGGAUUAUCCUGGGAAUUCUGGGUUGGAAUUCCGGGAAUUCUGGGUGGGAAUUCCAGGAGAUGUUCCAGGUGGGAAUUCCCUAAAAUCCGGGAAUUCUGGGAAUUUUUUGGGUGGGAAUUUUGGGGAUUUUCCUGGGAAUUCUGGCUUGGAAUUCUGGGUGGGAAUUCCGGGUGGGAAUUUACAAAAAAAUCCAGGAAUUCUGAGAAUUUUUGGGUGGAAAUUCUGGGUGGGAAUUCCCUGAGAGAUGGUCCAGGCUGGAAUUCCUUGGGAGAUGUUCCAGGAGGGAAUUCCCAAAUAUCCGAGGGGGAAUUCCGGGUGGGAAUUCCCAAAAAAAUCCAGGAAUUCUGGGAAUUUUUUGGGUGGGAAUUCUGGGAAUUUUGGGGAUUCUCCUGGGAAUUCUGGGUGGGAAUUCUGGGUGGGAAUUCCUUGGGAGAUGUUCCUGGUGGGAAUUUGGGAAUUCUGGGAGACGCUUCAGGUGGGAAUUGUCCCAGGAAUUCUGAGAAUUCUGGAAAUUCCAGGUGGGAUUUGGGGUGGGAACGAUCCAGGAGAUGUUCCAGGUGGGAAACCCCAAGAAAAUCCAGAAAUUCUGGGAAUUUUUGGGUGGAAAUUCUGGGAAUUUUUGGGAUUCUCCUGGGAAUUC